rnacentral:miRNA from 1 species
UCUAAAAUUGGCGGGUCAAAG